rnacentral:tRNA from 1 species
AUUUAAGUAGUUUAAAAAAAAUUUUAAUUUGUGGAGUUAAAGAUAUAAAUGAUUUAUCUUAAAUU